rnacentral:rRNA from 1 species
GAUGAACGCUAGCGGCAGGCUUAACACAUGCAAGUCGAGCGGCAGCACAAGGCUGCUUGCUAUCUGGCGGGCGACCGGCGCGCGGGUGCGACACGAGUAUGCUACCUGUCCCAUACAGGAGGCUAACCCGUCGAGAGACGAACGCAUACUGCGUGUGCCUGCAACUUGGCGUCAAUUGGCGAGGAAAGAAAUUCGGGAUAGGACAGGCAUGCGUCCCAUUAGCUUGUUGGUGAGGUAACGACCCACCAAGGCAACGAUGGGUAGGGGAACUGAGGGGUUGAUCCCCCGCACUGGUACUGCGACCCGGACCAGACUCCUACGGGAGGCAGCGGUACGGAAUAUUAGUCAAUGGGCGCGAGCCUGACCCAGCCAAGUCGCGUGAAGGAGGCCUGUCUUAUGGAUUGUAGUCUUCUUUUGUACGAGAAUAGCAAGAGUCACGUGUGACUCCCUGCAUGUACCGUAUGAAUAAGCAUCGGCUAACUCCGUG